rnacentral:lncRNA from 1 species
UUUUGGGUUAAGAAGUGUGAGGCCUACUCCAGAGGAAUAUUACAACUCAUGGAUGAAGAUCUCCCAACAAGUAGUAUCAGAGUCGAUGGUUCAACGACUCAACGAAUAUUGAAGCGACAAGUGGUCGGUAGAUCCACGAGGGAUACUUGUGUCGAAAGCCUUCCUAGAAAGAGGUCAAGGCGGCGUGUUCCGUUGAUGAAAGGAUAAGCCAACAUUGAUGCAAGUAGAUAGAGAACUGAGCUCUAGUGUACCCAAUACUCGAAGGGGAACUCACACUUGAGAGGAAGAUGUUGGGUAUUCCAAGUGUGAAUGAAGUUGAGGAGUUAAAGAGUAUAUAAGUGGAUGAACUCAUAG